AACCAAAAUCAUGGUGAAAAUGGUCCUGCUAGCAUAUAUUGAGGAUGCCUUUUAAUAGAACGAAGGGAGAAUGUUUACUAUUCGUGGGUUUGUGAUUGUCCAAUACUACAGAGGUAGUACUUGACAAGCCUUUGUAAUUCUAAAAUGUUUGCAAAUGGACUACAAAGAACUCAAUAAAAUUUGCUUAGGUCAAGAGUUGCGCACCACGUCCACCGCAUGUCCACAGGCUCCACAUGCAGCACAGAUCAAAUGCUAAUCCUCUCAACCAACCAAUCCAAAAGAUGCCGAACCCUCAUGGCCAUGGGCCACUAUACUUGUUUAAAAAUGGGCACCGGACCCAGGACAGCCAAUUGGUGACUCAUCAUGUCUCAUCCCAAAAACGGAAAACUUUGUGGUGAAAUAUUUUGCAGUAUAUAACUCACUGGGCAGCGAUCUCCAUAUUAUUCCAUAUCCAACUUGCUCGUGCCUAUAAAUGAAGACCAUCCCACCCUAUGGCAAUGCACACCAGCAGACCAUUCCACAUGAUAGCAAAGCAGUCAGGGCAGAGGAAGAGGAAGAAGGGGCGAGAGCCGAGAAGUAAGUACCUGUAGAGCGUAUACUGGGGAGGCUUCUGCUGGGUUGCCAUACGCUAAGAGGCAGAGAACGGGAUGCAGCCAAGGAUGACUUGCCGGCUCCUGGUGCUGGGAGUUCGUUGAGCUUUAGAGUUAGCCGGCAAGUUGUCUUUGGCUACACUUAGUUCUCUUCUUCUGGUGUUUGGCCCUCAAGCAUUGUUGAGAAAACUCUAAUGCCUGCAUUUCUAUCAACUUCCAUCAUGGAAAUACAUGAAUAAGUAUGCAAAGCAUAAAAGAUAAGAGAUUGACUUUCUUGUGGUACCCCCUGACGAAAAUGAAAGUCCGAAGGAUGUACAGAACACACUGCAUGACAAAAGAUUCCUCAAGGCUCUCACAUGGCGGCAAAAAUUGUACUUGCAAUAUUGUACCACAAAGAUUAUGUAUACACAAAAGAAAAUCUUAAUUAUGUAGGACAGGAAGCAGGAGGUGCAUCAGCAAUGUAACCAUGUUACAAAAGCACUGCAUUCCCUUUUCAAUACAAAGAAGAAUGGACAACUUCAUUCCUCAAGUAAUCAGUGUUAGUUGUCCUGUUCAUGUCCUUUGAAUAGUGUACUUUACUUUAUUGGCUAAAAGCCCAAAGGUGACGAUAUUAACGAGAGCUUUACCUCAUUAUUAGCACAAAAACUAAAACAUUUUCCGGAUGCAAGGUAUCAUGGGUGAAUGCUCAGCAUCGAUAAACCAUAAUAAUGAGCUAAUGACUGAUGCAGCUUUCUGAAGGGAACAAUGCGGAGUAACUAGUAAGGCUCUAUAUAUAACUUUUAUUCAAAAAAAUCAUAAUAAAAAUGAUGAAACUUGUCAGCAUCAA